AGCUCCAAUAGCGUAUAUUAAAGUUGCUGCAGUUAAAAAGCUCGUAGUUGGAUUUCUGGCUUGGUUCGCCUGGCCCGCCACGGUUACGUGUGUGAGUGCCGGUGUGGAUCUGCCAUCACUUCUAGGUCACAUUCAUACUCUUCAUUGAGCCGUGAAUGCGUAUCUAGAUCUUUUACUUUGAAAAAAUUAGAGUGUUUCAAGCAGGCUUUUGCUAUGAAUACAUUAGCAUGGAAUAAUAAUUUAGGACUUCGGUUCUAUUUUGUUGGUUUCUAGAAUGGAAGUAAUGAUUGAUAGGGAUAGUUGGGGGUGCUAGUAUUCAGCGGCCAGAGGUGAAAUUCUCGGAUUCGCUGAAGACUAACUUAUGCGAAAGCAUUCACCAAGGAUGUCUUCU
rnacentral:rRNA from 1 species